CUAAUGCAUAUCUUGAAGAAGGAAAGAAUAGUUCAGUUUUUGGCAAAAUGUUCACUUCAGCUUGAGAUGUUAAGAUUUGCGAAUUCUUUUCUCAAGAUGAAGGAACAAAGCAAAAAGGAGGCUAAUUUUUCCAUUUAGCCUUAAUGGUAUGUUU